UACGGGGGGGGCAAGCGUUGUUCGGAAUUACUGGGCGUAAAGCGUGCGUAGGUGGUUUGUUAAGUCUGAUGUGAAAGCCCUGGGCUCAACCUGGGAAUUGCAUUGGAUACUGGCGCGCUAGAGUGCGGUAGAGGAGAGUGGAAUUCCCGGUGUAGCAGUGAAAUGCGUAGAGAUCGGGAGGAACAUCAGUUGCGAAGGCGGCUCUCUGGACCAGCACUGACACUGAGGCACGAAAGCGUGGGGAGCAAACAGG
rnacentral:rRNA from 1 species